rnacentral:rRNA from 1 species
UACGGAGGGUGCAAGCGUUAUCCGGAUUCACUGGGUUUAAAGGGUGCGUAGGUGGGCUGGUAAGUCAGUGGUGAAAUCUCCAGGCUUAACUUGGAAACUGCCAUUGAUACUAUUAGUUUUGAAUACCGUGGAGGUCAGCGGAAUAUGUCAUGUAGCGGUGAAAUGCUUAGAUAUGACAUAGAACACCAAUUGCGAAGGCAGCUGGCUACACGAAUAUUGACACUGAUGCACGAAAGCGUGGGGAUCAAACAGG